AGAGGGUGAUCCUGCUGCUCAGCUCACAGGGGCCUGUGUGUGUGGCAGCUCCGUCUGGACCCUGUUGGCCCUUCUCAUGGGAGGCUUGAGGACACAGCCAGCAUGGGAGGACUCUAGGGCCCUCUCAGGGGAGAAGACCAAGGAACUCCACCGUCACUCCAGGCUGGCUUGCCCUGGAAUUCUUUUCUGCGGUGUAGUCAAGAAUUCCAUCCCAGCUUCACCUGAGUGGAGGUCUCGGAAGAAUUCACAGGCUGCUGCAGGUGGCUGCGUGGAGCAGUUUGUCUGGCCUGGACUGCACAGCCUGUGACAAAGCCAGUGUGCUGUGUGCUGUGUGAGAGCUGAGUGCUAAGGAAAGGGAGUGAGGAAAGGUUGAAGAAGGAGGAAAGCGCCUCCCCCCAACUCUGAAGGGUGUUGGGAUAGGGGUGCUGUGAGCUGGGGGUUCAGAGUAGAAGCUCUGAGUGCUAUGGGGGGGGCAGUUAUGACAAACCAUCAGGGGCACAGGGAGGUGGGAUCCACUCUCAGAGUUUUCCUCCAUGUCCUGCUUUUCUUGAGGCCUCCAGAGCCCCAGGAGGUGCUGGUGCAGAUCCAAGUGGGUCAGAACUCACAGUCAGCCACCCCUCUUUCCCUUCCACUAAAUUCUCCACAGCCUUCCAUGGUCAAACCACUGGAGAAAUGGACUAACUAGGGCUAAGGUUUCAAGUUUCUCAGGCCAGGUUGUGGCAGUGUAUGGGGACAUGCACUCAGACUAACAGUAGGAGCAAUUCAUAAUGCAUGGGAAUAGUCAAGAAUGGUGCAGUCUGACCAAGUCACAAGAAGCUCAGCACUGGACAGAUCCGUCAAGUAGCCCAGGAGGGCAGUGGGAAGGACCAGUAUCCCAUAUAUACCAAUCAUGUGGUUUGGGCUGCCCACAAGGGAUGUCACAUUGAGCAAGUUCUUUCUACCAUGGGUGGUGACCAGAUCCUCAGCCACAGUGGGUCUUUGUUGGCUAAUGCAGGAAUCUGUGAUUUCUGACCACUGUUAUAAGAGCACCCAACGUUAUUAAGAAACCCCCAGUUCUGGGCCAAAUGAAUGGUAGGCAGGCUUUCAAACACACACACAUUCAUGACCCCCUCCUAUAUAUAUAUAUAUAUAUAGUCAUGAAGCCAGGCUGGCUUUGAAUUCCUAAUAAUAUCUCUAUGCCCCAAGUGCUGGGAUUGCAUGUAUAGAUCACCAUGACUCCAAAACAAACAGCAAACUAGACUUUGCCAUGCAAAGGGCUUCCCUCAACAUAAGGUGACAGGGAAGUCACUGACAUCUUACUGAAGGGGAAAGCAGGAGACAGAUAAUGGCAGUAGUGUGGAGAGAAAGGGUAGAGACUACGGGGCUAAAAGACUACCGCUUACAAUGAAGUAGAAGAGCUGGAGAGGUAGCACGGCAGGGCUGUGUAUCAAGUAGACCAAAGUGAUAGAUUUGCUCCUACAAGCCUACGUUGUUUCCUCGGAUUCUGAGACAUAGCCUUAGUUACUCCUGCUGGGCUCUCCUGAGGCCAAGUUUUUCCUCAGAAGCAGAAUGUCAGGCAGGCUGGUCAUCUGAGGCUCCCACUUCCUCCCUGUCCCAGUGACUUCGAUGGCUGCAUCCUGGAAACAUCUCUUCAGUAAAUCUUUUGUGACUAGCUGUCAGCCAUCACUUUCCUAAACCACCAGAUGCCACCAGCAGUGACAUCAUCAGGAGCCACAGGCUCUGCACCAGCACAGCUGAGACUGGAGGAAAUACAGAAGGCCUCCAUCUUGGCCCAUCUCUUCACUACUGGAAACAUGUCCCUGUGUGGACUUGAAAGGCGCAUGUGCCUAGACCCUCUGUGGCCCAGCUAUGACAGGACUACAUGUCCCUAAGAUCAUUUCAGGAAGAGAGCAGAGGCCAGAAUGUGGGGAAAUUGCCACAUGUCCAGUGAAAUCUCUGUAACAUUUUUAUUAACUGUAUUCAACUAAAAACAAAUGACACAAACCAUCUGGUUUGUUUAAUAAAUUGAGCAUCAUAAACAGCUAAGACCGACCCCCAAACAUCAAGGUAAAUGAAAGGCCGUCAUUGUUCAGAAGCAAAGGUGUAAUCAAACUCUAAUUUUCUAUUCCAAUAGAUAUCUUUGAAUUAGUUUCUAUUCCACUAAUUAUGAAGUUUUUUUUAUUAGUGUUCUACUUGAUUAAUAAAGCACAAAACACAGAUUACCUAUAAUAUUACUCUCAAUCCCCCUGGGGAGUACCCGGGUGGUUUCUGCACGUGUUUAAAUGCUAAACAAGAGAAGCCAGGAGAAUGAGAAUAUGCAGAGGGGGAGGGGAACACCAGCCAGUUUUUAAGACUUUUAAAGAGAGCAAGGAGAGAUCUAUGGGAGGCUUUGGUUGGUGGAAAGAACAGGGAGGAGGGGAUGGUGUGUUAAAAUCUCAAAAGAAAGAAAUAAAAAAACAUUAAAUCUGAAAGACAAAAAUGAAGCCACCUAGCACAGUGCCUGGAUCCCUUUGUGCUGUCUAGAUAAAAUAUUUAUAGUUGUGCCUUGGGCCUCAGGAGAGAACCCCUUAACUAUUAAGAGAUAUUUUGAAAAUUAUAUUCUAAAAGACUGGAAUCCCUAGAACAGAUAAAUUCAUAGACAAAGACAUAGGUAAGUCGCCAAAAUGAAAUCUAGAGAAUAGAAACAACUUAAUGGAUCCAUAACAAGCAACAUGGUUGAAGCAAUAACGAACAGCAGCCUCCUCAGAGAGAGCCUCAGAAGACAGGUUUUACUGAACUCGCAUACUAAACCUUCAAAGAACUAAUGCAUGGUGCUCAAGUUGCUCCAUAAAAAUAAAAAGAGAAAGAAUGCUAACAAAUCCCCUCAAAGAAACCAGCAUCACCCUGGUAGCAAAAUGGGAUAAGGAUCCCCACCAAACAAAUACACAAAACUCAAGAGACCAAUUUCCCUGAGCAUACACACAAAAAUGCUCAGUAAAACACUUGCAUAUGGAAUUCAACAGCUCAUGAAGAUGCUCACAUACUAUCAGCAAGUUGACUUUUUCCAAGAAUACAGGAUGGUACAACAGUUACAAGUCAAUAAUUUUAAUACAGUACAUAAACUUAACAAUAGAAAUUACAGGGUCUUCUUAACGGAUGCAGAAGUGUUCUUUGACAACAUUGAACAUCCUGUCAUGAUAAAAAGCUUCCAAGAAACUAAGAAUAAAAGAUAUAUUAUCUAUCAUCUAUCAAUCUAUUAUCUAUCAAUUAUCUAUCUCUAUAUAUCUGCCUAUCUAUCCAUCUAUCAUCUAUCUAUCUAUCAUCUAUAUCUAUCAAUCAUCUAUAUUAUCUAAUUUUCAACUUGACAGAAUCUAGAAUGAUCUGAGAGAUGGGUCUCUGCCUAUGGAGUUAGCUUUAUUGUACUAACAAAACGGGCAUACCUGUCCACUGUGGGUGGUACCAUUCCCCUGGAUUGGGUUCUCCACUGCAUAAAACAGGGAAAGGGCCACUGGAUAGCAGCAUGAGUUCAUCUCUUUCUUCCUUCUGCUUGUGUAUACAGCGUAAAUAAGCACUUGAAGUACCAGCUACCCUGACUUCUCUGCUAUGAUGGACCUUGAACCUUGAGUCAAAAGAAACCGUUUUUCCUGGAGUUGCUGUUCUCAGAACUCAACUCAGUAAAGGCAACAACAGUAAAGGAAACUAAAAACCAAUAGUCAGCAUUAUAUGAAGUAGGAAAACUGAAAGCAUUUCUUUAAAAAUGAGAAAGGCACUAAGAGUAUCUCUUUGUUCUUACUCAGUGCAGUACUUGAAGCCCUAGCUAGAGCAAAAGACAAAGAGAAAUGAAAGGGAUACAGAUAGGAAAUAAAAGUUAUACUUGCAUCUGCUUGCAGAUGACAUGGUCCCAUAGUUAAAGGACCUCUGCCAGAAAACUCUUAGAUACAAUAAGGAUUUUCAGCAAAGGAGCAGAUUUCAAAAUUGAUAUACAAAUCCCAGUAACUUUCCUAUAUAGAAAUAAUAAAUUUGCCAAGAAAGAACUCAGGAAAAAUUCAAAUUCACAUUACUCUAAAAAAAUCCAAAACAUUCUUAGGAAUAAACUAACUAAGGACAUGAAAUACUUGUAUAAUGGAAACUUUAAAACAUUUAAGAAAAAAAAGAAAAUUAGACUAGGGAAAGGCGUCUCUUGCUCACAAGGAGCAGAAUAUAUACUAUGAUAAUGGGUAAUUACUAAAAGCAACCUAUCGAUGCAAGGAGAGCCCCGUAGAACUACAGCAUCCUCCUACAGAACUAAAAAAUCAGCCUAAGGUUCAGAUGAAAGCACAAAACAAGCAGCCCUGAGCAGAACAAACUGAUGGCGAUAUCUCAAUACCUGACUUGUAAUGAUCCAGGGCUAGAGAUACUUCAGCAGUCAGAGAUGCUUGCUGCUUCUCCAGAGGACCAGAGCUCAGUUCUCAGCACCCCGGUAAAGUGGUUCACACAUGCCGAUAAUUCCAGGGGAUCCAAUGCCCUUUUGGCCUUUGAGAGUUUCAGCAAGCAAGCAAGCAAGGAAGCAAGGAUGCAAGCAAGCACGCAUGCACGCACGCACGCACGCACGCACGCACGCACGCACGCACGCACGCACGCACAUGAUCUUAAAAAAGGAAAUGUUCUGCAGAGUUAUGGCAGCAAAAGGAACAUGGUGUGGACACAAAAGCAGACAUGUAGACCACUGGAAAGGAUAGGGGAACCAGAGAUAAACUUACCAUCUGUAGACAAUUUUUGACAAAGCUGUCACAUAUAUACUGAAACCCAGUCUCUUUAAAAACUGCCACCAGUUUCCACUGGGGAGAAACCAGACUCAUGGCUCCUACCCUGCAGGAAAUCGAUUCAAACAGACCAAUGACCUUGAUAGGAGCCUUAAACUUUUGAAACUUCCAGGAAAAACCAGUUUAAGAUACAAGCACAGGCAAAGACUUUUUUUUUUUUUUUGAAUAAGACUCCGGUGGCACAGGAAAGAGUGCCAAAUAUCUUUAAAAAUCUGAUUGUGUGAAUCUAAAAGUUUUCUGUACAGCGAAGGAAAGAAACUGUUAGCAAAGUGAAGGUACAGCCCACAGAAAGGGAGACCUUUGCCAACCAUAUAACUGACAGGGGGUUAAUAGCUAGAACCUAUAAUGGCCUAAAAAAAA
ensembl:antisense Gm5441 predicted gene 5441